rnacentral:rRNA from 1 species
CCCAUUGUAACACGUGUGUAGCCCCGGACGUAAGGGCCGUGCUGAUUUGACGUCAUCCCCACCUUCCUCACAUCUUACGAUGGCAGUCUUGUCAGAGUCCUCAGCGGAACCUGUUAGUAACUGACAACAAGGGUUGCGCUCGUUAUGGCACUUAAGCCGACACCUCACGGCACGAGCUGACGACAACCAUGCAGCACCUUCACAGAUGCCUUGCGGCUUACGGCUUUCACCGUAAUUCAUCUGCAAUUUAAGCCCGGGUAAGGUUCCUCGCGUAUCAUCGAAUUAAACCACAUGUUCCUCCGCUUGUGCGGGCCCCCGUCAAUUCCUUUGAGUUUCACCGUUGCCGGCGUACUCCCCAGGUGGAAUACUUAACGCUUUCGCUUGGCCGCUUGCAGUAUAUCGCAAACAGCGAGUAUUCAUCGUUUACCGUGUGGACUACCAGGGUAUCUAAUCCUGUUUGAUACCCACACUUUCGAGCCUCAAUGUCAGUUGCAGCUUAGCAGGCUGCCUUCGCAAUCGGAGUUCUUCGUGAUAUCUAAGCAUUUCACCGCUACACCACGAAUUCCGCCUGCCUCAACUGCACUCAAGAUAUCCAGUAUCAACUGCNAAUUUUACGGUUGAGCCGCAAACUUUCACAACUGACUUAAACAUCCAUCUACGCUCCCUUUAAACCCAAUAAAUCCGGAUAACGCUCGGAUCCUCCGUAUUACCGCGGCUGCUGGCACGGAGUUAGCCGAUCCUUAUUCAUAAAGUACAUGCAAACGGGUAUCCAUACCCGACUUUAUUCCUUUAUAAAAGAAGUUUACAACCCAUAGGGCAGUCAUCCUUCACGCUACUUGGCUGGUUCAGGCUCUCGCCCAUUGACCAAUAUUCCUCACUGCUGCCUCCCGUAGGAGUUUGGACCGUGUCUCAGUUCCAAUGUGGGGGACCUUCCUCUCAGAACCCCUAUCCAUCGAAGACUAGGUGGGCCGUUACCCCGCCUACUAUCUAAUGGAACGCAUCCCCAUCGUCUACCGGAAUACCUUUAAUCAUGUGAACAUGCGGACUCAUGAUGCCAUCUUGUAUUAAUCUUCCUUUCAGAAGGCUGUCCAAGAGUAGACGGCAGGUUGGAUACGUGUUACUCACCCGUGCGCCGGUCGCCAUCGGCCUUAGCAAGCUAAGACCAUGCUGCCCCUCGACUUGCAUGUG